UGUGGUUAUAAUAGCGGAGAAGAUACACCUGUUUCCAUUCCGAACACAGAAGUUAAGUUCUCUAGCGCUGAUGGUACUCGGUGGGAAACUGCCUGGGAGAGUAGGACAUAGCCACGU
rnacentral:rRNA from 1 species